rnacentral:rRNA from 1 species
UACGGAGGGGGCUAGCGUUGUUCGGAAUUACUGGGCGUAAAGCGCACGUAGGCGGAUUGUUAAGUCGGGGGUGAAAUCCCGGGGCUCAACCCCGGAAUGGCCUCCGAUACUGGCAAUCUUGAGGUCGGGAGAGGUGAGUGGAAUGGCGAGUGUAGAGGUGAAAUUCGUAGAUAUUCGCCGGAACACCAGUGGCGAAGGUGGCUCACGGGCCCGAUAAUGACUUUGAGGUGCGACAGCGUGGGGAGCAAACAGG